GUUUAAUUCACUUGCACAGCUGCUGCCGUGUUCUUCAGCCACCGGUGGAUGCCAGACCCGGAGUGCCCUCUCCGGUACAGGAGAAACAUGAAUGUAGCGCAAGCCUGUUUAUGGGAACGGAACCACCCCAGCGUGAAUUAUUCAUGGGCUCUUGCGAGCUCAUUCUCAAAAUAUCAAUUUCUCCCAGUCAUGCCAAGCAGCACUUAAGCCUGAAAGCCCUGUUAAAAUGAAAGGCCCAGGGAGCCAGACAGGGCAUGGGGCUGCGUGCUGCCUACGGGGGCACCAAGAUCAGGGGCACAUGGCCACCACUCCUGGCACACCACACCCGGCACUCGCUGGAGGCACCCCUCAUGGCACAGCCCUAUGGCUCUGACAUUGCCCCAGUGAGGGCAGUAGGGAACCUGCAGGCAACAGCUAGGCUGGAGCAGCGUUACUAGUACUAAUUAAAAUGUAGAUGCUCCCCAAACUGCAACUUGGAGCUUCUCUGGCAACUGCUAAAUCAAAAGCAGCAAGGCAGGGAGGCAGGGAGCUGUGCAGCAGGUGCUGCUGGCAGCAGGGGAGCCCCACUGGCUCUGCUCCCAUCUGUGGGAUGCUCUGACCUUUGGGAUUGUGCUUGGCUUUAGGAGGUGCCAGCAUGCACACCUCCCUUUGUAUGUGUCCUUACCUUUACCCCAGCAGGGCUGUUCCCCACUUGCAGGCUGCAGCAAACAUCCUCACAGUUCUUACUUCACAGCCCUUGUAUCACCUGCACAAAGACAGGCACAGCUUUUACAUCCCCUGAUUGUUUUUGGAUGGAAAUGAUAAAUGCCUUUGGUCCAUGGUACGUAGUUCUGGUCCAACUUUCACUCCUGUCCCAAAGGCAGCAGAUGUGCAUGGCAGCACUGUGCUGGGACACGUACCACCAGCCCCCCGCCUGCUGUGCCAUCACAGCACUGAGUGGAUGUCCACUGAUUGCUCAAGCUCAGCACCUCCCUGGCUGCUCCCUGCUGUUUGCACCGUCUCUUCUUCCUCACUCUCCUCAUCCGUGUUGAUCUCCUUCUCCAUGCAUUUGGGCACGGAAGAUGGAGGUGUAAGGAUGGCUUCCUGUACUUCAUGCCAGCGUGGGAAAGGCUGAGGCCGCAUCCCAGCCGCUGCAAAGCCCCCCGGUGCCUCCGCCUGACCCCGCCAUGGGGAAGCAGCGCUGCCUCCUCACCUGCUCCAACAGCUGGG
rnacentral:lncRNA from 1 species